rnacentral:tRNA from 1 species
GUUGUUGUGGCCGAAUGGUUAAGGCUAUAGACUACAAAUCUUAUGGGAUCUUCCCGCGUAGGUUCGAAUCCUGCCGACAAUG